AAGCGAAACGCCCAACUGGGCGUCUGCUUGGCGUGGCGGCCUUGCACUGAUGAGCAGCCGAUU
rnacentral:hammerhead_ribozyme from 4 species